rnacentral:rRNA from 2 species
GCUUCCGGAGCUAACGCGUUAAGUCGACCGCCUGGGGAGUACGGCCGCAAGGUUAAAACUCAAAUGAAUUGACGGGGGCCCGCACAAGCGGUGGAGCAUGUGGUUUAAUUCGAUGCAACGCGAAGAACCUUACCUGGUCUUGACAUCCACGGAAGUUUUCAGAGAUGAGAAUGUGCCUUCGGGAACCGUGAGACAGGUGCUGCAUGGCUGUCGUCAGCUCGUGUUGUGAAAUGUUGGGUUAAGUCCCGCAACGAGCGCAACCCUUAUCCUUUGUUGCCAGCGGUCCGGCCGGGAACUCAAAGGAGACUGCCAGUGAUAAACUGGAGGAAGGUGGGGAUGACGUCAAGUCAUCAUGGCCCUUACGACCAGGGCUACACACGUGCUACAAUGGCGCAUACAAAGAGAAGCGACCUCGCGAGAGCAAGCGGACCUCAUAAAGUGCGUCGUAGUCCGGAUUGGAGUCUGCAACUCGACUCCAUGAAGUCGGAAUCGCUAGUAAUCGUGGAUCAGAAUGCCACGGUGAAUACGUUCCCGGGCCUUGUACACACCGCCCGUCACACCAUGGGAGUGGGUUGCAAAAGAAGUAGGUAGCUUAACCUUCGGGAGGGCGCUUACCACUUUGUGAUUCAUGACUGGGGUGAAGUCGUAACAAGGUAACCGUAGGGGAACCUGCGGUUGGAUCACCUCCUUACCUUAAAGAAGC